CACGAGUUGACAACAAAAUGUGCACGUGAGCCGCAGGUGUCGUGUUUCCAUAUGGACCCGUCCAACAGUUUUUGUGACUUUUUUUGGAGCGUGUGUGUGACUUUAAAAGGCGGCGCCUGCUUCCGCCCACCUGGGUUUUCCUCCCACUGCCAACGGGCACCGUUGACACGCGGAGGCAAAAGAAAACGUCAAACGGAAACAAACAGCAGCCAUUUUCAUGUCAAAUGUUUCAUUUCAGUGAAUAAUUUUAGUGGUUCGAGCCCUCAAGGCACACAUACAUUUCAAGGUGGCAAGAAGCUUGUACUUCUGUUGGUUUUUUUUUUGCAACAUAUCCCAUUUCCUAAACUCCCGCGACCUUCGUGAGGAUAAGCGGCUGAAGAAAAUGGAUGGACGGAUGGGUGCGUUGUACUUGCAAGUGGGACACUUGACAACAAUGGCGACGUUUUGGGACUCGCGACGUUCUGUUUCCGAGGUAGCUGGCGGCUCAUUUCCCGUUGAGGCCGCCCGGCAGGCCGCAGGCUUUGCGGGCGUCGUGCGGGUGCUCCAGGACGGCUCGCGCGA